UACGGAGGAUGCAAGCGUUAUCCGGAAUUAUUGGGCGUAAAGCGUCCGCAGGUGGCACUUCAAGUCUGCUGUCAAAGACCGGGGCUUAACCCUGGAAAGGCAGUGGAAACUGAAGCGCUAGAGUGUGGCAGGGGUAGAGGGAAUUCCCGGUGUAGCGGUGAAAUGCGUAGAUAUCGUAAGGAAGACCAGUGGCGAAGGCGGGUCUCUGGACAGUUCCUGACGCUGAGGCACGAAGGCCAGGGGAGCAAACGGG
rnacentral:rRNA from 1 species